UACGGAGGGUGCGAGCGUUGUCCGGAAUCAUUGGGCGUAAAGGGCGCGUAGGUGGCCCGGUCAGUUCGUGGUGAAAGCGCGGGGCUCAACCCUGCGUCGGCCAUGAAUACUGCCGCGGCUGGAGCACUGUAGAGGCAGGCGGAAUUCCGGGUGUAGCGGUGGAAUGCGUAGAGAUCCGGAGGAACCCCAGAGGCGAAGGCGGCGCCCUGGCUCGCAACUGACGCUCAGACACGACAGCAUGGGGAGCGAACGGG
rnacentral:rRNA from 1 species